ACUUCCGGGUGAGCGUCGCUAGGCGCCAUAUUGUCUUGUUCGUGAAGACGAGGAGCGAAAGAGGGGAGGCGGCGGCGGGGCGGCAGUAGCGGCAGCGCCUGCGGCGGGAGGCGGGGGACAGUGUCCAUCUCCAGAGCCUAAGCCUAUAUGGGACAGAGAAACUCUGUCUGCACAGUAUGUGGUGCUUUUGAGAUCCUUCUCAGGGUGUGAGAUGGAUGACUCCCUGCAGUCCAGGAAUUCCACGAAGAGCAUCGAACAGAGACUGUUGAAAUAUAGACUAUAUAAAGACUUAAAAGAUGUGGGAUCAAGGUGGACAACCUUGGCAGCAAUGGCCUUUGAACCAACAGCAGUGGAUGCAGUCAUUUCAGCACCAGCAAGAUCCAAGCCAGAUUGACUGGGCUGCAUUAGCUCAAGCAUGGAUUGCUCAGCGAGAAGCCUCAGGGCAACAGAGUGUAGUGGAACAACAAGGAAUGAUGCCAAACGGACAGGAUAUUUCAGGAAUAGAGUCUGGUCCAAACAACCAUAAUAAUUUUCAGGGGGAUCCCAACUUCAACAGAAUGUGGCAGCCAGAAUGGGGAAUGCCUCACCAGCCCCCUCACCCACCUCCAGAUCAGCAGUGGAUGACUCCAACCCCAGGUCAAAUGGAAAUUGUUCCUCCAUCCGAAGACAGCAACAGUCAGGACAGUGGGGAAUUUGCUCCCGACAACAGGCAUAUGUUUAACCAGAACAAUCACAACUUUGGGGGACCUCCCGAUAACUUUGCAAUGGGGCCAGUGAACCAGUUUGACUAUCAGCAUGGGGCUGCUUUUGGUCCACCUCAAGGUGGCUUUCACCCACCUUAUUGGCAGCCAGGACCACCAGGGCCACCAGGUCCACCAGCACCUUCUGCACCUCCUCAAAAUCGAAGGGAAAGACCCUCAUUCAGAGACCGACAGCGUUCACCUAUCACGAUGCCUGUGAAGCAGGAGCCUCCACAGAUUGAUGCUGUGAAGCGUAGAACUCUGCCUGCGUGGAUUCGCGAGGGCCUGGAAAAGAUGGAACGAGAAAAACAGAAAAAGUUGGAAAAAGAGAGGAUGGAGCAGCAACGUUCACAGUUGUCUAAAAAAGAAAAAAAGGAAAGUGAGGAGCCUGAAGAAGGGGAUGGCCCACGGUUACCUCAGAAAAGUAAAUUUGACAGCGAUGAGGAAGAUGAAGAUGCUGAAAACGCAGAAGCCGUAAGCGCUGGGAAAACCAGCAGGAGUCCAUCCCCAGCUCCUCAAGAGGAGCAAAGCGAACCAGAAAUGACAGAAGAAGAAAAGGAGUAUCAAAUGAUGAUGCUGACAAAAAUGCUGCUGACAGAGAUUCUCCUAGAUGUCACAAAUGAAGAAAUUUACUAUGUGGCCAAAGAUGUUCACCGUAAAGCAACUAAAGGUAUGCCAGCUCUUUUUGGGGUUUUUUUUUUUUGUUAGUUUCUUCAGUGAAUAUUCUAUAUUUGCAUGUCUCUAGAACAUUUAACCUCCAUAGUUAUUCCCCAAGAACAAUUUUAGUAUAAUGCAUCCAACUUGGUAGAGUUCAAAUCCAGUAAUCAUGUACUGUCGUUCUGUGCAGUGUAUUGUGAGUUACUUCAGUUACUCCAUUUCUUUCAUACAAUUCAUUUUAGAUAAAAUGGUACCUGUGUGUCAAUGGCUCUUGAGUUGUAGCUGUUUCUUAAUGCUAUCAUCUUGUAUCUCAAGUUCCUAGCUGUGCAGAAGUGAAAAGAGACAAACUUUGAGUCCUCAAUUAGCAAUUAAUUUCCUUUCACUAUUAACACAUAUUGUACUUGCAUAACCGAUUUCUUUAACAUAACUGAGUAAUCUAAAUAUGUAACUACUGAAACUUGAAAAUGAUGUGCAGAUGCUGUAACUUGGAAAGUGAUUUAUGAGUAUAUAUUUGUGUCUUUUUUUCUGUUCACUGUUAAUUUGCAGUUAGAUUCUAAAUCUUUGUGGUCAGAAAAUCUAGAAGUGGUUUUAAAUGGAUGAUGCGUUUUUAAUGUUUCUUCUCUCCCUCCAAAGAACAGCAAUAGUAGUAGAUUUAACAAUACCAUAGACUCAUGACUAUGAAAUCGUGGCUAUUUGUGUUAACAUGUUGUUCCUGUUGUUGAUGUGAUACAAAGCUCCUGCAAAACAGCUGGCACAGUCCAGUGCACUGGCUUCCCUCACUGGACUCGGUAAGUAUGUUCCUUAUUUUUGAGAGGGCUUAAAGGGGGAGUUUCACUCUUGCCUUGCGUUUCUAGAAUUGCAUUUUGAAACUAGAUUUUAAUUGCCCAGGAGUAUGGGUCACUUUCUGAUAACUUUAUCAGCACCUUUGUUUGUUCCACAGGUGAUCCUAAUGAUAUAAGUGGGAUGGUUUUUGGAGUAAAGGACUAGUCAGUGUGAGUUAGUGUAUGAGAAUCUUGCCCUAAUUUUGAAAAUACAUAAAAACUUCAGAUAAAUUCACUUUUCAAAGUAUGAUUGUUUCAGAAGCAUACUGCAGUCUUCAGAGAGAGGAAUACUGUUUGUAUUUUUUUCCUAUUUUGAUCCGUCCAAACAAGAAGGGAAAGCUGAUAGAUUAAUGUGAAAGUCUAGGAAUAAAAAUAUUAUCUUUGGUAGUAUUAUUUUACUGAAAAGCUACAUAAACACAAAAACUCCCAUAUCAUGUAUUACCAGAAACAACACAGAAAAAAGAAAUCCCAGCUUGAGACACAACAGCAAAAGAUCUUUCCCAACAUGUUUUUUAUCAUCUAAAACAUACUGCAGCAGUGUCAGUGAUUAAUUAUGUGUUCGUAACUUGCAGUUCUGAUUAAUCAGGUUGAAUGUUAUCAUCACAAUUAUUCACGUUUUAAAACUAAGUCAAUAAAGAUCAUAAGAACCUCAGACUGAAAGAAAGUAAAAUAUCUCCAUGUCAGAUGUUUAAAUUGACCUUAUCUUAUCUUUCUUAUCAGUCCAGUAGUUAUUACUAUCUCUAGGGGAGAAGAAAGUCCAUUUCUGUUCCAUCUCCAUACCUGUCAAAGUGCAGUGUUUUCUAAAUCAAUAUAGGAAAAUUGAUAUGGCAUUCAGAAUUUCUGUAGCCUUGGACUACGGAGGCGGCUGAAGUACUUUCAGAGGUGUCUUCUGGGAAAGGUCCCAGGCAUUUUCUGUCCGGUUGCUGAUACAGAGGCAGGCACUGUUACAAUCUCCACAGGGAGCUUUUUUGCUCUUCCGUGCAAUGGAAAAAGUACCAUGAUCACAGUGGUUGCCUGCUGAAAAUAGACGUUCCAGAAGGAGUAGAACCAGACAGUGAGCAUCAAUGCAGAUAUGGGGGCCUUGAUCACAGCAGUCAAACGCCAUUGGCACUUACCAGAAUAAAGUGACUUCAUCAGAGAAGAGGAAGUGAAGGAAGGGCAAUGUUACUCUCCUCUUUGCCCCACAGAAAUAUUAGGAACAAAGCUUAAUCUUUCCUCGUGAUAGACUGGACUUUAUGCACGCAGGUGGACUGGGUGGUUAUGGAUCAGGAGACAGUGAAGAUGAGAGGAGUGACAGAGCCUCUGAAUCAUCUGAUACUGAUGAUGAGGAAUUACGGCACAGAAUCAGGCAAAAACAGGAAGCAUUUUGGAGAAAAGAGAGAGAACAGCAACUACUACUAGAAAAACAGCUAGAAGAAGAAAAGCUACAAAGUGAAAAAGUUUCAAAAGAGAUGAAUGAAUUUAUCAACAAAGAACAAAAUAGUAACUCAGCAUCACAGGAGGCAAAAGAAAUUGAAGCAGAAACGGUUCAUGAAAAGAAAAGAUCUCCAAAUGCAAUUGCACCUGAUACAGAGCUUAAAAAAGAGGGUAAAGAGAGGACAGGAAGGAGCGGGUCAGGAAGCUCUAGCAGUGGUAGCAGUAGCAGCAAUAGCAGAAGCAGUAGCAGCAGCAGCACUGUAUCUAGUUCAUCCUAUAGCACUAGCUCAGGUAGUAGUCGCAGCUCUUCACGUUCUUCCUCUCCUAAAAGGAAGAAGAGGCACAGUCGCAGUAGGACACCUUCACAUAAAGUUAGGCGCAGCAGAAGCAGGAGUUACUCCCACAGAAAUAGGAGAGAGAGAAGUCGGAGCAGGGAGAAAAUAAGGGAAAGGAGAAGAUCUAGUAGGAAUCACAGUGCUGAAAGAGGGGAGAGGCGAAGAAAUCGGAGUCCUUCGAGAGAGAGAAGCUGGGACAGACGUAGUAGCCGUUCCAGAGACAGGCGAGCUAACCGUGCAAGCCGCAGCAGAAGCAGGGAUAGACGUAAAGCUGAAGACCAGCGUAGAAGCCCUCCUGGAAAUAGGCACAAACAUAAAAGUGAGGGUAAAGACCAAGAAAGGAAGAAGGAGCAGGGCGGAGCUGUAGAUAAGGACAGAAAAAAGAACAGAGAAAGGGAGAAAGAUCAGGAAAAAAGGAAAGACAGGUCCAAAAAAGAGGAAAAAGAAAGUAAGGCUGGCAAUCAUGACGACAGUAGAUUAAAGAGAAAAAGGGACAGCGAAAGAACUUUCUCUCGCGGUGAUUCCAUAUGUGUGAAAAUAAUAAGACAGGAUUCCAGGCAAGAAUGCAAAAAAAUUACUACCAAAGAUAGCAAAAAACGGUCAGGCUCCGAAUCUAGUGCGAGGAGUAGUUCUGAAUCACCAGGAAGCAGCAAAGAAAAGAAGGCUAAGAAAUCGAAGCAUAUUCGGUCAUGUUCCAUGGAGAAAUCUCAAAGGUCUGGUAAGAAGGCAAGCCGCAAACACAAGUCUAAGUCACGAUCAAGGUAGUAUACUUUUUAAGUAUUUUGUCUGACUUUUUACUUUUAUUUUUUUAUAUUCGUCUUCAUGUGUACGGCAUAUGAACUUUUUUUAAUAAAGUAUGGUAUUUAUUAAUUUUUUUGUCUUAGGCAAAAGUAACUUUGGAAAAAUCUUUUAAAACUAUUAAUUACUAAAGCCUAAAGUGUGUGUGGGUUUGGGGGUCUUUUAUGUUUUCCAAUUAACUUUUCCCCCAUUUUCCUUCUCUUUUUCAGAUCAAUGACUCCUCUUCGUCGUAAACGCUGAGGAAUUUAUGGCACCAGUGCUAUGAUGUUUAAAAAUUCCAUGAGUUAUAAAGGCUUGUCUCAUUAUAGAGGCACAUUGUGGCUAUGUAGGUGAAACCAGAAUCCUUUUUUUAUCUGUAAAUAGGUGUAUUUUUUCCAAAUGCUGCUCAGAAUUAAAUACCUAAUAGGAUUUCUUUGUAUUACUUUUUUCCCCCCACCAAGAACGGUAGUGCUUAUUAAGAAUAUAAACCAGGCCAUUCUCUUUCAGCUGUAAUGUUCUUAAAAUUACUAUUGAAUGUACUGUGAUGUCAAUAAAGCUCUUUAGUUCAUUUUUUUGUUUAAAAUUCUUGCACCUGAAUUUUGUGUUAAAUUGUAGAAAGUACUUUUUUUUUUUUAAAGAAAAAACAAAAAGGCAGCUUUUUUUGUAUAACAAUUUUUAAAGUACUUGAAAAAGAUUUUAACGUAAACCACUUGUCAGAAUAUGUAAUCCAUGGACACGAUGAGAUUAAUCUAUUGGGGGGUGUGGAAGAACAAAGCAAAGACAUCUUAUUUUUCCUUUCGAUCUGUGUAAUAGAUUUUUAAUAACUUUUUUAUUUGGACUAGCAAGUAAUAUAUGCUGUGUGUGUAAAAUAUGGGUCACCGUAAUACAAGCUAUACUGAAACAGACUGAACCCCAGUAGGAAUAUGCGCAACUAACUGAUCUUGUGUGACAGUGUUAAGCUGUGGAACUAUAUUCCUCACCCAGUUUUCAGAGAGGACUUUCUGAAUGUCCAGGGAUAUUACAGGAACAAGACUCUAUUUUAGAUGUUUUUAUGGAAUAUAUUUAUAAAUGGCACUCAGUACACAGUAGAGAACUGACAGUAGGUUAACUUUACAUUUUGGCACAUGCAUUAAAUGUGUAGUGAACAUUAAAGCUGCUUAUUUUUGUUAGUGUUACAAGAAUUGUGAUUCCUGUAAAACCUAAUACAGUGGUGAGACAGCAACGUAACUAAAUUUUUGGUUUUAGUAUCACCAUAAAGUGAAAAGGUCACUGAUUUUACCUCCUUCUUCAGGAAAUUAACUGCUACUGUUAGUAGCAGGAGUGUGAAAUAAUACUAGUUAACAAAAAACACCAAACCACUACAUAACUCUAGGCCAGUGACUGUUAACGAAGAACAUUAGGAAAUAUGUAGGAAAAGAUGGGAGAUCUCUGCCUAGAAGGUCUGAUACCAACUGUGAAAAAGACAAAAGGCUUAACGUGAAAGUAGGAUAUCUCUGAUGGCUGUAUCUUCUGAGAAAAAAAUCUAGCAGUAUGGGCAAUGUGCAGAGCAUGUCUUCAUGAACAGAUUAAUCCAUUUAACUAAAACUAGAAUUCAGCUAUGCAGCAUUUUUGCCAGUGUAAUUUUUUCGUAAGUUAGAAGUAAACUGCUUCAGUGCAAAGAAUCACAUUUUAACUACAUGUUUAUUAAGCAAGCUAAUGCCUGGUGAAUACAUGAUGCAUGUUUAUCAAAACACUGUUACAGAUAAUAAGUUAAUUGGUUAUAAAUAACAUACCUCCCCCCCCAAUUAAGUCCUUUCACAUAGCGUAUGCACUCAUGCCUGUUAGCAAAAUAAGGCAUAAUUUGCAACACACAAAUUUUACUUGCAUUGGUGUGGAUAUAAAUAAUGAUGUAUUAAUCCAAUCUCAGUACAUGAUUUACUCUUGGUAAAAGGGAGACUUUUUUGAGAAGUAGGUAGCAUAACAGAUGUCUCGGAAGGAUGUCUCUUGAGAGAAGGAAUUAAGUUUAAGAAAAGCUAUUGAGGAAUACAGUUUCCAUGAUGCACUGAAUUUGAUUUUCAGUUCAGAUUUUAUAUUCUCUGUCUAAUAAUAAAAAAGAUUGUGUAUGAAAAGCUUUAUAUACUCUGCCAACAACUGGAAUUCUGUCACUUCCUGUAAA